AGAGUUUGAUCAUGGCUCAGAUUGAACGUUGGCGGCAGGCCUAAAACAUGCAAGUCGAACGGUAACAGCGGGAGCUUGCUCCCGGCUGACGAGUGGCGGACGGGUGAGUAACACGUAGGAAUCUACCUAGUAGUGGGGGACAACCCGGGGAAACCCGGGCUAAUACCGCAUACGCUCUACGGAGGAAAGCGGGGGAUCGUAAGACCUCGCGCUAUUGGAGGAGCCUGCGUCGGAUUAGCUAGUUGGUGGGGUAAAGGCCUACCAAGGCGACGAUCCGUAGCUGGUCUGAGAGGACGAUCAGCCACACUGGAACUGAGACACGGUCCAGACUCCUACGGGAGGCAGCAGUUAGGAAUCUUGGGCAAUGGGCGCAAGCCUGACCCAGCCAUGCCGCGUGUGUGAAGAAGGCCUUCGGGUUGUAAAGCACUUUCAGCGGUGAAGAAAAGCUCAGGGCUAAUACCCCUCGAGUCUUGACGUUAGCCACAGAAGAAGCACCGGCUAACUCCGUGCCAGCAGCCGCGGUAAUAC
rnacentral:rRNA from 1 species